AAGUCGUAUCAAGGUUUCCGUAGGUGAACCUGCGGAAGGAUCAUUACCAAUAUAGCGAACCGAGCGUUAGCGAGGCUUCGCGAUCAAAUUGUAUUUAAAACCCAACUCUUUAAAUGUAUAUUAUUAUUAUAUUUUAAAUAAUAAAAAGAUCACUUUCAACAACGGAUCUCUUGGCUCUC
rnacentral:misc_RNA from 1 species